UGGGGAAUAUUGGACAAUGGGCGAAAGCCUGAUCCAGCCAUGCCGCGUGAGUGAUGAAGGCCUUAGGGUUGUAAAGCUCUUUCGACGGGGACGAUAAUGACGGUACCCGUAGAAGAAGCCCCGGCUAACUUCGUGCCAGCAGCCGCGGUAAUACGAAGGGGGCUAGCGUUGCUCGGAAUCACUGGGCGUAAAGGGCGCGUAGGCGGCCGAUCAAGUCAGAGGUGAAAGCCCAAGGCUCAACCUUGGAAUUGCCUUUGAUACUGUUUGGCUAGAGACCGGAAGAGGUAAGUGGAACUGCGAGUGUAGAGGUGAAAUUCGUAGAUAUUCGCAAGAACACCAGUGGCGAAGGCGGCUUACUGGUCCGGUUCUGACGCUGAGGCGCGAAAGCGUGGGGAGCAAACAGG
rnacentral:rRNA from 2 species